rnacentral:rRNA from 1 species
GACGAAGGAUCCAAGCGUUGUCCGGAUUUACUGGGUUUAAAGGGUGCGUAGGUGGAAAAAUAAGUCAGUGGUGAAAGCCCCCGACUCAAUCGGGGAACUGCCAUUGAAACUGCUUUUCUUGAAUUCGGUUGAGGUAGAUGGAAUGUAACAUGUAGCGGUGAAAUGCUUAGAUAUGUUACAGAACUCCAAUUGCGAAGGCAGUCUGCUAAGCCGUUAUUGACACUGAGGCACGAAAGCGUGGGGAGCAAACAGG